ACGCUCCACACCUACGGGAGGCAGCAGUGGGGAAUAUUGCACAAUGGGGGAAACCCUGAUGCAGCGACGCCGCGUGGAGGAAGAAGGUCUUCGGAUUGUAAACUCCUGUUGUUGGGGAAAAAGAGGAUGGUACCCAACAAGGAAGUGACGGCUAACUACGUGCUAGCAGCCGCGGUAAUCUGAGCGGGCUGGCAAGGC
rnacentral:rRNA from 1 species